rnacentral:rRNA from 1 species
UACAGAGGGGGCAAGCGUUGUUCGGAAUUACUGGGCGUAAAGGGCGCGUAGGCGGCCUUCUAAGUCGAACGUGAAAUCCCCGGGCUCAACCCGGGAACUGCGUCCGAUACUGGAAGGCUUGAAUUCGGGAGAGGGAUGCGGAAUUCCAGGUGUAGCGGUGAAAUUCGUAGAUAUUCGCAAGAACACCAGUGGCGAAGGCGGCUCACUGGCCCGAUACUGACGCUGAGGUGCGAAAGCGUGGGGAGCAAACAGG